UACGGAGGGUGCAAGCGUUAAUCGGAAUUACUGGGCGUAAAGCGCACGCAGGCGGUUAGAUAAGUUAGAUGUGAAAGACCCGAGCUCAACCUGGGAAUUGCAUUUAAAACUGCCUUGCUAGAGUCUUGUUGCGGGGGGGAGAAUUUCAGUUGGAGCGGGGAAAUGCGUAAAGAACUGGAGGAAAAACCGUGGCGGAGGCGGCCCCCUUGGCAAAGACUGACGCUGAGGUGCGAAAGCGUGGGGAGCAAACAGG
rnacentral:rRNA from 1 species